AUUAACUGAGGUUUUGCCUUUCACUGACUUUUCAGUUCGAAGAGAACGAGUCCAAAGUUUACACUGCGAGGACACUCUCCUCUCUAGUCUCUGACCUGUGGGAUAUUUUUUUUCUUUUCCAUUUCCCUCUGUUUCCCACUCUUUCCUCCUCCGCUUCUCCUCCACUUUGCCCUUCAAUGAUAUUGCACCAAACUCCUCACCACCCUACUCCCUAGAAAAUCCACUAACCUCACUUGACCCAAUAGAUCUUCCACUCACUCUCUCAGCUUCCAUAUCCAGAAACUUCCAAAUUCCUCAUUUUCUGCCCUGUAUUUUGAUUUAUAUGUCACUGGGAUCCUGCCCCCCUACCGUCUCCCACACUUCAAUGCACCACGCAGCUUCAGUUCUGUUCUUGAACUGUUGUUGAUGUUACAUUUGCUGCUGCAGCGUUUCUUUUGAGCUCUCAAUUGGUGUUGCUUUGUGAAUUCUUUUGUCUUUUUCUGAAGAGAGAAUCCGAGGCUUUGAAGGGCUAGGGUUUCUUAAUUCCUCGAAAGAAAGUGUUCUUUUGGAUUUGAGAAUCUCAAGACAGAUGAAAAAGUGCAGUUCAGCCAUGUUAUCUGUCGUUACGUAUCUUUGUAUCACUAAGUCGCUUGGUUGAGGUGAAAACUGCCAACCAAUUAUCAGUAAUAUAGAAUUGGAGACGGUACAACCUUCAUAAAUUUGACGACCUUACCUGCAGCUGGGAGAUAUUUGAGGUGAACAAGAAGAUGUGGUCAGCCUGCAUUCAGCUGAAAUGAAUACGUUGCAGGAUUCACAAAGCACGCCAGAAGUACAAUCCUCAACCCAAGUUUCACAUGAAUCCCUAAAUGACCAGCAGAAUAACACAACUGAGACUCCUGUAGCAGACUCUGGUUCAAUAUCCAUUUCAAGCAAUGAUAACAGGAAAGUUUCGCGUGAAGACAUUGAACUUGUCCAGAAUUUGAUAGAGCGAUGUCUGCAGUUGUAUAUGAAUAGAGACGAAGUGGUAAAAACCCUCUUGAAUCGUGCAAGGAUUGAUCCCGGAUUUACAUCUUUGGUAUGGCAGAAGUUGGAAGAGGAGAAUGCUGACUUUUUCAGAGCCUAUUACAUACGGUUAAAACUGAAGAAGCAAAUCAUUCUGUUCAAUCAUUUGCUUGAGCAUCAGUAUCAUCUUAUGAAGUAUCCUGUGCCUCCAAAGGUCCCUCUGGCUCCUAUACAAAAUGGAAUACAUCCCAUACCAGUUAACAAUUUACCUAUGGGAUACCCCGUCAUACAACAACCGCCAAUUCCAGCUGCAGGACAACCCCAUCUGGAUUCCAUGGGUUGUGGAAUUUCAAGCUGCCAUGUUGUAAAUGGAGUCCCUGCACCAGGCAAUUUCCAUCCCAUGCGGCUGAAUUCUGGGAAUGAUAUGGUGAUGGGAAGUGGUGCGGCUGAUGUAGCACCUGUUAUUCCACCUAGUAGUGCCAUGUCAGAUAUGCCUGUGAGUCCUACAUCAGUGGCAUCCAGUGGCAAUUUCCCAUUCAGUGCAUCAGAAAUAGCGGGAAUGGGAGUAGACACAGCAGCUCUGGACACUGCCUUUACAUCUGAUGUAGCAAGUUCAGUAGCGUUACAGCUUCCGCCGGAUGGUGGGGCAGGGAAUUCUAGAGAUUCCCUCCGGUCCUUGGCUCAGAUUCCUUGGAAUUUCAGCCUUUCAGAUCUGACAGAAGAUUUAUCAAACUUGGGAGAUCUUGGAGCCUUGGGAAACUAUCCUGGUUCUCCAUUUCUGCCUUCCGAUUCUGACAUUCUGCUUGAUUCCCCAGACCCAGAGGAUAUAGUGGAGGAGUUCUUUGUUGAUUCAGUGCCUGGGCCACCAUGCUCUCAAUCAGAUGAAGAGAAAUCCUGAACUAAGGAUCAUUGCUGUCAUCCAUGCUUUUGUGGUCUUUGGCCAUCCUCCGCCUACUUUCUGUGUUGAAGGUCUGGUUUCAAGAGGUUUGAGCUUCCAUGGAAAAGCUGGCCAGCGGAGUGACUGCAGAAAAAAAAACUCCUGCUAUUGAGUCGCAAGAUAAUUUGUACUUGGUGGAUAAAGCAGAUUCUGCAUUUUUCCAAAGUGAGGGAGAUUGUUCCUUCCUAAAUGUCUGAGAAUGCAUUAGCUGAAUAAGAAAUAAUAAAGAAUAAUAAUAAUAAUCUGCCAUUGCUACUGGCAAUAUCCAGAAGCGCUUCAUUAUACACAUUGUUAAUGGUAUUACUGUUAUGAAUAAACAAAACUUAAUAUAUCUCAAA